rnacentral:tRNA from 1 species
GAGGGUAUAGUUCAGUGGCAGAGUGCAUGCCUAGCAUGCACAAGGUCCUAGGUUCAAUUCCCAGUACCUGUU